ACAUCUUCAACUAUGAAACAUAAGAAAAGGAUAGAAUUGAGAAAGGGACCUCUAAAGAUUCAGAUUCUGAUCGAUAAUAACGAAUAAAAGAAGCCAAAUCCUAAAUUCUCGAACAAAAAAUAAACCUCAACAACGGCUGAAACAAGUCAGAGCUAAACAACCCGAAUUCACAAUCCGAUUCAAAUACCAAAUCCACAAAACCACUUGAGAGUACUCAACACCAACACUGAACAAACCAAAACUAAACCGAACUUACUAACCCAAACAGACCAAAGAUGACCUCGAACAAACUGAAACCAAAUUCAAAACAGCCGGAAUCAACCCAAAACAGUUCAAUUUUGGGCUGGUUUUAACGAUUCGAUCUUGGUUUUCAGUGAUGGAGAUGGUUUGGAUGAGUUUUCGAUGGGUUUUGGAGUUAAAUCGGAACUAGUGUAGUGAUUUUUGGUGAAGAGUGGCUGAAACACUCGAUCUCUGGCUAAGUUCUUCUCUCUCGUCUCUCUCUGUUCUCUCCCUCUCUCUCGAUCUACCUUAUUUCUGGCAUGUGUUUAUGGACUUCCCCAAAUCCCUGUGCAGUCCCCGUAUCCAAUAAAUGGAGAUUGUAGUGCAUUUUUUUUUGAACCGGUUCCUGUGUGUGAACGUGUUCGAAGAUAAAGAAAGAAAGGAUGAAUAUGGUGAAUGAAG
rnacentral:lncRNA from 1 species